UCGAAAAAAUUCGGAGAGAUUUUUUUUCGUCAAUUGACUAUACAAUUGAGUGGAAUUUCCAUGAAAGUGAGAGAUGAGUAUGAAGAGGAAAUCACGUGGGUAAAGCUUUCGACAAUGGCGAAGAAUGGGCAUUUUUUUUCCUUAUAAGUUGAACUUUUGCAGAAGAAAAAAAGAAUCAGUUGAUUCUGAUAUGAUAGAAUAUUUUAUGGAGUUUGGAGGAAUGCAAUUUGUGAGCAGUUUAAAAGGAAUCUAUCAACAACCUUCACUUAAAGUGGCGAAAAGAAUCACAACUGUUUUACUGGCAUGGUGGCUACUGGCUAUGAUGAUAAGUAACUUUUGUGAUCUCAUGGGACCACUUCAGCUUCUCCAAGGGAAAGGAUGAACAGAGAGGACUGCGCAUUGGGGAGCUUUUCUCCUCGCAAGGGGCGGAGGCUGGAUUCCAGAAAUGCUAAAAUGUCACAUCUGAACCAGCUUUACCAACGUGGAAGCAGCGCCUGUGAAGCAAAUUCAUGUGAUGACGCUCAGUUGUGUCUUCGACAGAGUGUACCUUUUUUUGAGCUCCCAUUAUUUCCUCUUCUCCCUAUGUGCAUGUUUUUCGAAUUUUAUCGAAAAUAAUUUUUCUAUUAUAUAGCAAUAGUAGCAAAUUUAUAUGCUAUAUAAAGCAUAUGAAAUUAUGAUAUUUUUUGUAAAUUAGGUAUUAUGUGUAUAUAUUUCAAAAUUAGUAUAAUAUUAUCUGCUGAUA